AGGGAAUAGAUACCCGGGUAGUCCACGCCGUAAACUAUGGAUGCUAGCUGUGAACCGUAUCGACCCGGUUCGUAGCGAAAGCUAAACGCGUUAAGCAUCCCGCCUGUGGAGUACGGCUGCAAGGCUAAAACAUAAAGGAAUUGACGGGGACCCGCACAAGCGGUGGAGCGUGUUGUUUAAAUUCGAUGGUAAGCGAAGAACCUUACCCAGGCUUGACAUCCCGAGAAGCACUGCGAAAGCAGAGUGUGCCGUAAGGAACUCGGAGACAGGUGUUGCAUGGCCGUCGUCAGCUCGUGUCGUGAGAUGUUUGGUUAAGUCCAUCAACGAGCGCAACCCUUAUAGUCAGUUGUAUUUUUCUGGCUAGACUGCCCCGGUAACGGGGAGGAAGGGGGGUAUGACGCCAGGUCAGUAUUACCCUUACGUCUGGGGCUACAAACACGCUACAAUGGCCGGUACAAUGGGAAGCCAACCCGGCGAGGGGGAGCUAAUCCCACCAAAGCCGGUCUCAGUUCGGAUUGCAGGCUGAAACCCGCCUGCAUGAAGCUGGAAUCGCUAGU
rnacentral:rRNA from 1 species